AGCUCUGCUGUCUGCACUAAUCUCACCACUGGCUGCUCUCAGCAUUCCUUCUCCCAUUUCCCCUCUGUCCCUAUUUCUUUACCUUUCUAAUUGUUUCUUUCUUUUUUUUUUUCUUUUUACUCUUGAAUUGUCAGUUCUUGAGGACUAUGGUGAGGUGGCCACCUCUGGAACAUGGACAUGAGAGUAACAAGGUUGCCUUUGAGAGUUAAAUGCUGGGACCAGCCAAGUCUAUUACGAGCAGAAAAGAGCAAAGUCUCCAGGUAGAGACAGGACACCUCCCAAGCACGACACCUGGUGGUGCCCAGGGUUUGCGCGGUCCCAGCAGGGUCUCCUCUCCACACUCCUGCCUGAGGAUUAACAGACCAGGUUCUGAUCUUGGCAUUUGACCGACUUCCCCUUCUGACUGUGAAGGUUGACAUUUUCCUAUGUGUGUGUCUCCUGCAAGCAAAGGCAGCAAUCAGGCUGUCACCAAAACAAGAGGAGAUUUAUGACUUUCAGCUGAAAGAACCAUUUUUACAGGAGGGAUGCUUGAUGGGUCCAAGCUGCGGCAGCUCGUGCAGAUUGGAGCUGGAAGGUCUCCGGAGCACCUCUGCCUCGUCCUUCCUGCGUCGUCUCCGUGACUCGGAACCCAGACCCAGAGUCAGCAAGGGACAGAACACUCCGGGAGGUGUUGAGAAACAGAAGCAAAACUUCAUCAGAUGGUCAGCACCGGUUUUGGAGAAGAGAAGGGGAAGACCUCUUCCACACUUGCCACCUUUGCACCCCCAGAAAAGGGGUGGUCCAGGGGGUGAGAAGCCUGCUGUGAGCCUGGUACGCCAUCUGCUGGCCAUUUGUUUAAUUGCAGAGAGGAGCAGCAUUAAGUCCAGAGACGGGAAUGUCAGGUGCACUCCCCUAUUCCAGCCAAUCAGGUGGGUUAAUUCUUUCUCCCUCUGGUUGAAAAUGAUUCACAGUUGACCCUUGAACAACACAGGUUUGAACUGCGCGGGUCCACUUACACGCAGAUUUUUUCCACUAAAUAACAUACUACCUGACUUGAGGUUGGUUGAAUCCCCAGAUGUGGAACUGCGGAUACUGAGGCUCAAUUAUUACAAAGUUACUGGAGGAUUUUCGACUCUGUUGGACCCACCUUGUUCAAGGAUCAACUGUAUUUAUGUUAAAACAAUGACAAUAAAGGGAAAUAAAGAGAACGUUUUCCCACAUUCUUCCACUGUCUAGACAAGCACUUUUUAAAAAAAAUAUAUAAAUAAAAGUCUGUAUUUACACUUAAGGGGGCUGGGCUGGUGUGUCCUGCCUUGCUGCCUCCUAAAAAGUGGACCAGAGACCCUGGGUAUUUGCAUUGGUAACAAGGGGAGAAAGAACUCAGAUUCUAUAGCCCCAAAGACUUGGGUUUGAACCCAUUUCAUUAGUCACACGCUGGGAGGGGGAAGUCUAUUCAUCUCUGAUUUUGAAUCUGUAUGUGCUAGGCUGGAUAAUACCUAACCCCACCAAAAAAAAAAAAAAAAAAAGAUAUUCAUGCUCUAAUCCCUGGAAUCUGUGAAUAUGUUACCUCACAUUGAAUAAAGGACUUGGCAGACGUGAUUCUGGUUACAGACCUUGAGAUGGGGAGAUUAUUCUGGGUUAUCCGGGUGGUCCCAAUCUAAUCACAGGAGUCCUUAAAGGCAGAGAACCCUUCCUGACUUCAGUCAGAGUGAUGGGACAUUGUCCACUUUGAAGAAGGAGCAAGUGGGCCAUGAACCAAGGAAUGCAGGCAGCUUCUAGAAGCUGGAAAAGGCAAGGAAAUGGAUUCUCCCCAGGGCCUCCAGGAGGAAUGCAGCCUUGCAGACAUCUUGAUUUUCGCCCAUGGGACUUGUGUUGGACUUCUGGUCUCCAGAACCAGUCCUCUGAGGCAUUUUAUUUGCAUGUAUGUAUAACAGCCCUAGAAAAAGAAUCCAAGGAUUUUCCCUCCUGUGUGUUUUCAUCUUGCUUCUUCAUGGUUCAUGAUGUCAGCUGAGGUUGUCAGUACAAUGAAACCAAACUGGUGGGAUGGGAGCAGGUUUUACUGCCAUUUUUCUAGAUCUUUGAGUCGCACAUCAAAUCUGGGGCUGAUCGCUCCACACUUAUUUAGCCUGCCUGUGAGGUUCACAACGAUUUUCCCAGCGCUGUGAUCAUCGAUGAUUUCAAAUUCACCAUUGUAACCAUGCUUCAUCAUCACAGAAACCUGACGAUGACUUUGGAGGAUGGCUUAAUAAGAACCUGGUGUUUGCCUCUCUUUUUGGCAUUGUUGACAUUCUUGAGAGCAUCAGCCGGGACAUUCACGUACACCAUUAUGGCAGCAUGGAAAGAUGGUGGAAAGAUACAUUUUUUAUUAAUAGAAAUGUAUUUUCUCCUCACCCCCACCAAAAUGAUGUUGAAAAGUAUUUAAAAGAACACAGACCCCUACUUCAGAGGAA